rnacentral:tRNA from 1 species
UCGUAGCUCAGCAGGUAGAGCAGCGGACUGAAAAUCCGCGUGUCGUUGGUUCGACUCCGACCGA